GACGGCAUGGCAACCCAGCAGCUGUGGCCACGGCACAUGAGAACAAUCAGAGCCUGGUGUCUCCGGAGAGAAAACAGAAGAGGGCUCUACGACUGCCAGUGUGUACGGUGUUGGCCGAGGGGAGGGGAGAUGCGGGAUCAACUGCCAAGGAGACGCCUGCCCUAGUUGGGGAUGAAGGAGUGUGACCUCGCUCCUGCUUCCUCAAACUUUGUUUUGUGUUUUCAAAGCGAAUAAUUUGUUCUAGUGGGAGAGGAAAUGAUGUCGAGAGAAAGAUACCAUCACGUGGACAGAAUGUUCUUUGUGGCCCUGGAAGGAGUGUGGAGGCGAUUCUUAUCUGAGAUUGUCCACCACCUGCUGUUCAGCCGUGGGCCCACGAGACUUUCCUUCCAGUUUUAGAGCUGCACUGAAUUCACCACCUCUUUUGGCUGCCAGGCUGGGGAGCCCUUCUUUCCAGCACUCCUUCCAGGACCAAGGCCUGACACCACCCCCCCCCUGGGGUGUGCGGGUGCCUCAAGAAAAAGGUCGAUGAUCUGAGCCAGAGGGAGAGGACACCUGGACAGAUUUCAAUUUCUCGUGAAACAAACACAUCUCCACGUGCUCUCAGGAUUCACGUGUUUCCCUUAGCUCUGGUCCAGGCCCCUGCCUCUUCCUCCACGUUCUCCUUUCCAGAGACAGAGACAGAAAGCACAAGCAGGGAGGCGCAGGCAGAAGGAGAA